rnacentral:misc_RNA from 1 species
CAUAUAAUUAUUUUUAAUUUACGAGAAUCAAAAGGUCCAGAAAAUGUCAUUGAGCUAUUUGGUUCAUCUGAUCGCCUUUUUAAAUAGUGUUCGAUUAGAUCAAGGUUAGUUCUAUUUCGAAUAUUUCGUCGCUCUGAGUCCAUUGAUAGUCUCAUAUUAUCAAUCCGAUGAUUGGAUUGGCCGGAAUCAACCCCAAAAUUUUAUGCUUCUCUCUCCUCGUUUCAUCGAAUUUUGACGACGAUAGGAAGCGGGGUUGGUCAAAUCUGGUAGCCAAGAGGAAGAGGAAUUGAACUCCACUGGUUUGGGUCCGAUCCAAUGUCAGGACCACCGAAAAAUAGUGAAAAACUGUUUGCCUACACAUUCGCGUGUGUUGCCAGAAAAUGGACACCAUUCGUCGUCUGUCGCCAUCAAUCUCGCCGUCCAAGACUUCACCGGCACUUGUGCUGGCUGUCGGGAGCCUCACCAGCGGUGGGUGGAGCUUAUGGUAAGAAAAUAUGGAGGAAAAGGAAAGAAGUAAGAGGAAGAAAAGAGGGAGAAACGUGAGGGAGAAAAAAG